UGCCAGUGAUGAAAGAUAUGAUCAACAUGUAAUGUAUGAUAAUUCAUCAUUACUAUUACCUAAUGCCUUCCUUCUGAGUUU
rfam:Lupinus angustifolius cultivar Tanjil chromosome LG03, whole genome shotgun sequence.